CUGCGCUGCGGCGCGGCCAACCGUCGUGGCGCUGUCUUUUCACUGUUCCUCCCGUGGUGCUCGUGCGGCCCGGGGGGACACUCGUUUUUCGGUCGUCUGUGUGGUUCUACCCGAGUGCGGCACGACGUUCGGUUCCAUGACGGAUUUUUGCGAGCCCCGUUGAUCUCCGUUAUCAUCGGUGCAGCCGACGUGCGGGCUUAGUUCAUGUGCUGCAGCGGGCGAGGGCCCCGUCACCGCACUUGGAUUUGGCCGGCUCUCACGGAUGCCGUCCCUUCGAGGAACCCGUGGGCCUCCGGUCCCCCGGUUUCCACGGGAAGUCCCUUGCAUUCGGUCAUUGCUCCGCCGCUCCGCCCCCGUGCUGCGGGUGUCGGGACGUCCGCGCGGUGCGUGCCCCGGUGCAAGCGAGAUGUCUGUCCGAUCGAAUGUGCGAUUGCCGCCGCCACGUCGUUCGACGACGACGUGGCGGCUCUCGUCUAAGACGUGCUACCUGGUUGAUCCUGC
rnacentral:misc_RNA from 1 species